CCUACGGGUGGCAGCAGUGAGGAAUAUUGGUCAAUGGACGAGAGUCUGAACCAGCCAAGUAGCGUGAAGGAUGACUGCCCUAUGGGUUGUAAACUUCUUUUAUAUGGGAAUAAAAUGUUCCACGUGUGGGAUUUUGUAUGUACCCUAUGAAUAAGGAUCGGCUAACUCCGUGCCAGCAGCCGCGGUAAUACGGAGGAUCCGAGCGUUAUCCGGAUUUAUUGGGUUUAACGGGAGCGUAGGUGGAUUGUUAAGUCAGUUGUGAAAGUUUGCGGCUCAACCGUAAAAUUGCAGUUGAAACUGGCAGUCGUGAGUACAGUAGAGGUGAGCGGAAUUCGUGGUGUAGCGGUGAAAUGCUUAGAUAUCACGAAGAACUCCGAUUGCGAAGGCAGCUCACUGGACUGCAACUGACACUGAGGCUCGAAAGUGUGGGUAUCAAACAGGAUUAGAUACCCUGGUAGUC
rnacentral:rRNA from 1 species